GCCUACGGCCAUACCACCCUGAAAGCGCCCGAUCUCGUCUGAUCUCGGAAGCUAAGCAGGGACGGGCUUGGUUAGUACCUGGAUGGGAAACCGCCUGGGAAUACCAGGUGUUGUAGGCU
ensembl:rRNA 5S_rRNA 5S ribosomal RNA